rnacentral:rRNA from 1 species
GUGGGGAAUAUUGCGCAAUGGGGGAAACCCUGACGCAGCGACGCCGCGUGAGCGAAGAAGGCCUUAGGGUUGUAAAGCUCUGUUUUAAGGGACGAAUGUCGUGGGGAGUAAUAUGCUCUGCGAAUGACGGUACCUUAAGAGGAAGCCCCGGCUAACUACGUGCCAGCAGCCGCGGUAAGACGUAGGGGGCGAGCGUUGUCCGGAAUUACUGGGCGUAAAGAGCACGUAGGCGGGAACUUAAGUCAGGUGUGAAAGACCGGGGCUCAACUCCGGGGUUGCACUUGAACCUGGGUUUCUUGAGGGCAGGAGAGGAAAGCAGAAUUCCUGGUGUAGCGGUGAAAUGCGUAGAAAUCAGGAGGAAUACCAGUGGCGAAGGCGGCUUUCUGGACUGACCCUGACGCUGAGGUGCGAAAGCGUGGGUAGCAAACAGGAUUAGAUACCCCAGUAGUCC